AAACCAACAGGGAUUACCUCAGUAACGGCGAGUGAAGCGGUAACAGCUCAAAUUUGAAAUCUGGGUCUUUCAGGCUCCGAGUUGUAAUUUGUAGAAGAUGCUUCGGGUGCGGCUCCGGUCUAAGUUCCUUGGAACAGGACGUCAUAGAGGGUGAGAAUCCCGUAUGUGAUCGGUUGCUUGCGCCCAUGUGAAGCUCUUUCGACGAGUCGAGUUGUUUGGGAAUGCAGCUCAAAAUGGGUGGUAAAUUUCAUCUAAAGCUAAAUAUUGGCCAGAGACCGAUAGCGCACAAGUAGAGUGAUCGAAAGAUGAAAAGCACUUUGGAAAGAGAGUUAAACAGUACGUGAAAUUGUUGAAAGGGAAGCGCUUGCAACCAGACUUGCGCGUUGCCGAUCAUCCGGGGUUCUCCCCGGUGCACUCGGCCUCGCUCAGGCCAGCAUCGGUUUUGGUGGUGGGAUAAAGGCCUUGGGGAUGUAGCUCCUUUCGGGGAGUGUUAUAGCCCUCGGUGCAAUGCCGCCUACCGGGACCGAGGACCGCGCUUCGGCUAGGAUGCUGGCGUAAUGGUUGUAAGCGAC
rnacentral:rRNA from 1 species